AGGACAGCCACCCAUAGCAGCACCCAGGGAUCUGGGGGUUAAGGGCCCUGCUGAAGGACUCACAGAUGUGCUGAGGCUGGGCUCAAACCAGCAACCUUCUGAUCGCAGCCACAAAGGGUCAUCCUUAGGAGGACAGCGCCACUUACAGUUGGUGUCUCAGGUUUGACACUCCAGUGCAACAAGCCGGUGCUGACACUCCCUCCAAUCGCCAGGCAACCAGAAGUAAGGCAGCGGGUCAUACAUGGAAGAUGACACAGAAAGAAUGACGAGCUAGAUGCAGGGACGUCACUGGUAGUGGCGACGUCACAUGUAGCAGGGUGUGCUGGACAUCUUAAACACAGCAUCCUCUAUCUGCUUCAUCAUUCCAGGCCACUACAUGACAUCUCUUGCCCUCUCUUUGCAUAUGACAAUGUCUCAGUGAGAUUCAUGCCCUUCGUUAAGUUUUAGAUUAAUGCUUUUAAUACUGUCGGUAUUAAACUAACAGUUGUCUUAGUCUCCUAUUGUGCCGUGUCGUGCUUUUCUCGUCUUCAUCCCGCACCAGAAUAUCAUCCACCACGUCCAUAACCGUCUCCAAAUCACAGUCCUCAAGGUCCGAGCUCAACAUUUCUGUACCUGUGAGCCAGGUGUGAUGCGUAUGUGGCCAAUCGGAAUCAGUAAUUAUUAAACUAUAACUGCCCGGGAAAACUGAGAACAAGGCCUGGAUUUAGAAUGGAGGGCCAGAGUUGAAUUGCCAUGCUCUAAAUGAGUGGUUCUCAAACUCGGCCCUCGGGCCCCUCUGCCCUGCUUGUCUUCCUGCUAUCCCUGCCCCACACACAAGUCCCGGCUGUCUUUCAGCUUCUGAUUGACUGAACACACCUGAUCCAGGUAAUCCAGGUGUGUAGGGCAGGGAUAGCUGGAGCACAAGCAGGGCAGUGGGUUCCGAGGACCGAGUUUGAGAACCACUGGUCUAAAUAUUCUAGUUU